rnacentral:rRNA from 1 species
GCUUAGCCUUAAACUUUGGUAGCGUACUUAUACGCUAUCCGCCCGGUUACUACGAGCAUCAGCUUAAAACCCAAAGGACUUGGCGGUGCUUUAGAUCCAUCUAGAGGAGCCUGUUCUAGAACCGAUAAUCCCCGUUAAACCUCACCCUCUCUUGUUUCUCCCGCCUAUAUACCGCCGUCGUCAGUUUACCCUGAAAAGGAUUAGUAGUAAACAAAAUCAGCACCGCUCAAAACGUCAGGUCGAGGUGUAGCUUAUGAGAGGGGAAGAAAUGGGCUACAUUUUUUACCUCAAAAAACUACGGAUAAUGUAAUGAAAUAGACAUUUGAAGGAGGAUUUAGCAGUAAGCAACAAAUCAGAGUGUUUUGCUGAAGCUGGCCCUGAAGCGCGC